rnacentral:lncRNA from 1 species
AACUGAUAAACAAAUGAUAUUUAUUUAUAACUAUUUGAUUCUUAAACAUUUAUCUUGUUAUAGGUUCUUCUAUCCUUCUGUAGGCCAAAGUUAAGUUGUAUGUGUAUAUACACUUUGAAAAGUCCACCAACUUGUUUAGGUGAGGAAAGUGCAAUUUAUCAUACUGAUGGUGGGAAGUACAGACAGGUGAUGAUACUUGCAAAAAGUUUCCUGCAAUCUUGCAUCGUCACCCAGGCUACAGUGCAGUGGUGAGAUCCUGGCUCACUGCAACCUCUGCCUCCCAGGUUCAAGCAAUUCUCCUGCCUCAGCCACCCAAGUAGCUGGAACUACAAGGCAUGCACCACCAUGCCCAGCUAAUUUUUGAUUUUUCAGUAGAAAUGGAGUCUCAACAUGCUGGUCAGGCUGGUCUUAAAUCCUGGCCGCAAGAGAUCUGACCGCCUCGGCCUCCCAAAGUGCUGGGAUUACAGGCAUAAUCCAGUGCACCCAGCCCUGAUUCAGUGACUAUUGAAACCCCAGGAAUUCAAGGAUAAUAUCAGGAUUUAGGAAUGUGAACUGCUUAAAAUCACAAAGUAAUAGUAGUGGUUUCUAUUGCCCAUUUUAAAGUAUCUACAAAAUCACUUUUUUGGUGUUAUAAUUCUUUUAACAAGUACGUUGAAUAAAGGAAUAUAGUUAAGUACUGGCACUAAAUAAAAACUGCUACCAAAUAUUUGACUUAUAAGACCAUUAUUAUUAUUAUUAUUAUUCAUGUGUUAUUAUUUUUCAUGGAGUUUUGAAGACCAAAAAUAUCUGAAAAACAUUUUAAUCUGGCCAGUUGAAAACUAGUGAAUUUCAACCAGAUGUUUUUAAUACCACUUUAAAAAUAAACUGCAGCCAUUUUAUUA